rnacentral:rRNA from 1 species
AUACGUAGGGUGCGAGCGUUGUCCGGAAUUACUGGGCGUAAAGAGCUCGUAGGUGGUUUGUCGCGUCGUCUGUGAAAUUCCGGGGCUUAACUCCGGGCGUGCAGGCGAUACGGGCAUAACUUGAGUACUGUAGGGGAGACUGGAAUUCCUGGUGUAGCGGUGAAAUGCGCAGAUAUCAGGAGGAACACCGGUGGCGAAGGCUGGUCUCUGGGAAGUAACUGACGCUGAGGAGCGAAAGCAUGGGUAGCGAACAGGAUUAGAUACCCUGGUAGUCCAUGCCGUAAACGGUGGGCGCUAGGUGUAGGGGUCUUCCACGACUUCUGUGCCGUAGCUAACGCAUUAAGCGCCCCGCCUGGGGAGUACGGCCGCAAGGCUAAAACUCAAAGGAAUUGACGGGG